GCAAAAGGCAAAAUGCAAAAAAAAAUCUAAUCAAAGCUUCUUUCGGCGUUUAUGUAAAUUGGCACAAUAACAACAACAAAAAAUUUAACGAAAGGAUUUAUCAUGUUACGUAUGCAGAGCAACAGAAUAACCAUCCGAAGAGCGAACCUGAAUCCCUGAUUAAAUGAAUGGCUCCUCCUCUAUCAAAGUUCAUCUUGUAAAUUAAAAUGGAUGUAGAACAAUUUAUUAACGAAGUGCUAUAAAGCUGAAGUUCCUUGAAUGUUUUUGUUGUACGCAGAAAGAUUUACUGGCACGCCAGUACUAAUUUGGCGUCGGGUCAUUGUUGUUAGCCGCCCAUUCAUUUAGGCUUUCAGUCAAUAGGGCAUUCGGCCAUUCACACACUCACUCUUCCGUUGAAAGCUUAAUUGAAAUGAAGGCUUCCCAACGUUAACAGCAAUAUCGAAAGCAACCUUUUAAGAGCGAAGGAACGGAGUGGUUUGCGGGGCGGCUGCGUGAAGACGUCAGUGACAAUUAAUGCACGGAAUAUUUUCAGUUGUGGAAAAAGAAAAUCUGGUUACUAUGCAUUUCACCACCGGAAGCAUACUAUAUUUGGGUCAGUCAAGACCGCUGCACUACCUUAAGUGGCUUGAUGGAAAACCCUUACGUUCCCUGAUGAUGAUCUCCAACAAAAAUCUUGAAACCGGCUCCCAAUUUCGAUAAAUGCUGAUGUGGCCCAGGGUUCGAAGAAAGAUCAUGGUGGCGUUUAUACUGAGGUCUAAUAAAAGCUCUGCAAAGAAAAACCAAAUAAAAAUGUAAAACGACUGGUAGAAAAGAACUAGUAUGUUAACUGAUAUGAACUGAUGUGACAACCUACCAGUUCGACAAUUUCGAACAACUUGAGUUUAUGUGA